AUAGAAUUUAUUCUUAACAAAUUGGUAAAAAAUUGGAAAAAGUGAAAGGGAAAAGAGUGAAAUGUAAAAAAUAAUAGUGAACCACAUUGAAAGUGAACUUACAAGAUAUAACAAAAAGUGAAAGUGGCCUCAAAAGAUCAUAUAGACAUAACAGGAAAGGAAAAGGAUCCAACAUAAUAUCAACCUCUUAACCGCUUUUUCGAAAAGUACACGGUAAACCAUGAUAACGGGAUGAAAGUUUUGACCCUGUGUACUAUUUUUCACGUUCAAGCAGCAGUUCUAUUGACCCAACUUAGACAAGACUCAUCAG